ACAUAUCAUAAGCGGAGGAAAAGAAACUAACAAGGAUUCCCCCAGUAACGGCGAGUGAAGCGGGAAGAGCUCAAGCUUAAAAUCUCCAUACUUGUAUGGCGAAUUGUAGUCUAUUGAGGCUGUUGUCAGCAUCGCGAUUGGGGACAAGUCCCUUGGAAAAGGGCAGCAUAGAGGGUGAUACUCCCGUCUCUGCUCCAAUCUGCGGUGUGUACGAUACGCUUUCUUUGAGUCGAGUUGUUUGGGAAUACAGCUCAAAGUAGGUGGUAAAUUCCAUCUAAAGCUAAAUAUUGGUGCGAGACCGAUAGCGAACAAGUACCGUGAGGGAAAGAUGAAAAGAACUUUGAAAAGAGAGUUAAAGAGUACCUGAAACUGUUGAAAGGGAACCGUAUCGUUUCCAGUGUUGUAUCCUAUGCAUAUUUCAUUCGCGGAGUAAUUUGCGGGUGCCCUGUGCAUGGGUGUGACGUCAGGGUCAGUUUGUAUGCUGCGGGAGAUGGUCAGUGAGGAGGUGCGUCACUUCGGUGAAAGUUAUAUCUCGCUGUCUAGUAGCCGUGGUUGAGACUGAGGUGCCUACAACAUGCCUUAAGGUUCCGUGUUGUCUCGUGUUGGUGACUGCUUUGAUAGCUUGCUAUGUCUGUGGUUUAUCAGUGCGAUUGAUGAUGCGGAUAACUUUUGCUGUUCGGGACUCUGGCGAAAUGGAGCGAUACGACC
rnacentral:rRNA from 1 species